rnacentral:rRNA from 1 species
AGAGUUUGAUCCUGGCUCAGGACGAACGCUGGCGGCGUGCCUAAUACAUGCAAGUAGAACGCUGAAGGAGGAGCUUGCUUCUCUGGAUGAGUUGCGAACGGGUGAGUAACGCGUAGGUAACCUGCCUGGUAGCGGGGGAUAACUAUUGGAAACGAUAGCUAAUACCGCAUAAGAGUAGAUGUUGCAUGACAUUUGCUUAAAAGGUGCAAUUGCAUCACUACCAGAUGGACCUGCGUUGUAUUAGCUAGUUGGUGGGGUAACGGCUCACCAAGGCGACGAUACAUAGCCGACCUGAGAGGGUGAUCGGCCACACUGGGACUGAGACACGGCCCAGACUCCUACGGGAGGCAGCAGUAGGGAAUCUUCCGCAAUGGACGCAAGUCUGACGGAGCAACGCCGCGUGAGUGAAGAAGGAUUUCGGUUCGUAAAACUCUGUUGUUAGAGAAGAACAGCGCAUAGAGUAACUGUUAUGCGUGUGACGGUAUCUAACCAGAAAGCCACGGCUAACUACGUGCCAGCAGCCGCGGUAAUACGUAGGUGGCAAGCGUUGUCCGGAUUUAUUGGGCGUAAAGCGAGCGCAGGCGGUCAAUUAAGUCUGACGUGAAAGCCCCCGGCUCAACCGGGGAGGGUCAUUGGAAACUGGUUGACUUGAGUGCAGAAGAGGAGAGUGGAAUUCCAUGUGUAGCGGUGAAAUGCGUAGAUAUAUGGAGGAACACCAGUGGCGAAGGCGACUCUCUGGUCUGUAACUGACGCUGAGGCUCGAAAGCGUGGGUAGCAAACAGAAUUAGAUACCCUGGUAGUCCACGCCGUAAACGAUGAGUGCUAGUGUUAGACCCCUUUCUGGGGUUUAGUGCCGUAGCUAACGCAUUAAGCACUCCCCCCGGGGGGGACGAACCCCAAGGUUGUACUCCCAGGGUUGUACCGGGGGGCCCCACCCAACCGCGGGAACAAAGUGGU